AAACAUCACAGAAUUGUUUUUACUGAUAAGGAACUAUGUGUAAAAAUAAUUCUGUAAAGUUU
rnacentral:pre_miRNA from 1 species